rnacentral:rRNA from 2 species
CCCCGGUAAACGGCGGCCGUAACUAUAACGGUCCUAAGGUAGCGAAAUUCCUUGUCGGGUAAGUUCCGACCUGCACGAAUGGCGUAAUGAUGGCCAGGCUGUCUCCACCCGAGACUCAGUGAAAUUGAACUCGCUGUGAAGAUGCAGUGUACCCGCGGCAAGACGGAAAGACCCCGUGAACCUUUACUAUAGCUUGACACUGAACAUUGAGCCUUGAUGUGUAGGAUAGGUGGGAGGCUUUGAAGUGUGGACGCCAGUCUGCAUGGAGCCGACCUUGAAAUACCACCCUUUAAUGUUUGAUGUUCUAACGUGGACCCGUAAUCCGGGUUGCGGACAGUGUCUGGUGGGUAGUUUGACUGGGGCGGUCUCCUCCUAAAGAGUAACGGAGGAGCACGAAGGUUGGCUAAUCCUGGUCGGACAUCAGGAGGUUAGUGCAAUGGCAUAAGCCAGCUUGACUGCGAGCGUGACGGCGCGAGCAGGUGCGAAAGCAGGUCAUAGUGAUCCGGUGGUUCUGAAUGGAAGGGCCAUCGCUCAACGGAUAAAAGGUACUCCGGGGAUAACAGGCUGAUACCGCCCAAGAGUUCAUAUCGACGGCGGUGUUUGGCACCUCGAUGUCGGCUCAUCACAUCCUGGGGCUGAAGUAGGUCCCAAGGGUAUGGCUGUUCGCCAUUUAAAGUGGUACGCGAGCUGGGUUUAGAACGUCGUGAGACAGUUCGGUCCCUAUCUGCCGUGGGCGCUGGAGAACUGAGGGGGGCUGCUCCUAGUACGAGAGGACCGGAGUGGACGCAUCACUGGUGUUCGGGUUGUCAUGCCAAUGGCACUGCCCGGUAGCUAAAUGCGGAAGAGAUAAGUGCUGAAAGCAUCUAAGCACGAAACUUGCCCCGAGAUGAGUUCUCCCUGAGACUUAGAGUCUCCUGAAGGAACGUUGAAGACGACGACGUUGAUAGGCCGGGUGUGUAAGCGCAGCGAUGCGUUGAGCUAACCGGUACUAAUGAACCGUGAGGC